ACAGGAAGCUGGCCUACUCCUGAAUACAAAUAAUGCAAAUUCUACCAGGACAAGCUGACUUACCUGGGCCACAUCAUAAGUAAGUGUAUCCGGGAUGAAAAUCUAUUUAAUCCAAGGAGGACGUCCGUUAUUUAACGGUUAUUUUAUGUUAUGUUAUGUUCAUUAUUAAUAUAACAAAGUCCGCCAUAUGAGUGCGUAAGUUCCGGUCACGUAGUGUUGCGUCGUCACGUACGUACCUGGGAGGCCGCGGCUGUCCAAUUGCGUCGCUCGUAGCGCCUGUUACAAGCUGUCUGCUCCGUCUCUCAUUCAGAAGGUGAGGGGAAGCAUGCGGAGCAGCUGCUACAGGUCGGUCGCUAUAAACAAAUACUAUUUUCACUCAUAAACUCUUGGUUAUAUCAUUCUAAAUGCCGCCGUUACAUCAUUCAACCCUUUUAGACAUCAACCAGCGCCGGGGAGGGAUAAGUUGGUCAUAUGGUGCGUCGGAUAUAUUCUGGAAUUGGCCAGGUGCUUGUACAGACGCAGAAUCGAAUCGAUGGCGAGCUAAGACACUGGCCUCGGAGCCGAGCAGUCCCAGUUAAGAGCUCUCCUGGUCUGGUAGGAGGCUCUGGCAGCCUUGUUCCCCCCUCACCUUCUCUUACAUCCACACACACAUACCACUCGCAUUUUGAGGCUUCUAGCCCAUGGACAGUUGACAUAUUGGACUCUACCUUUGCGGCGCACAUGCUGGACUGUUUUUGAGCGCCUCAUCCUCUAUGAACUCUGUGCCUUUGCGAUACGCAAUAUUGUGUGUGGAACUGCUGCCAUAUUGGCUACCACUGAGACUGGUUUUGAUUUGAAUGUUGUUGAUGCAUCAGACGUGUCAAGUGCACUUUUCUAUUUAAUUCAUGUACUCUGCAGACUGUAAAUAUUGGGGUCACUGUAUGUAUUGUCAUGCAUUAAUAUAUGGUACCAACCGCAUCUGAAGUGCUGUUUGUUGUGUUUUAUUGUACCACUACCUCUAAGAAUCGAACCUGUCUUCUGUAGACCUAGGCCCAAAAGCUAGCUUAAUACUAAUAUAAUAAUCAUACCAUAUCAUCAUAAUUUAGCCUGUGUACUGGCUACAUAAGGAUGGUCUGCUGCCAAAUAAUGAUCACAUUGCAGCUAUUUGUGAUGCUCCAUCACCGAGCCAUGCUGCGUCCCUCAGGUCCUUCCUGGGCCUGACAUUGUGGUACUCCAAGUUCAUACAAAACUAUGCAACCGUUGUGGAGCUAAUUAGAAAUGUGCUGCAUGACACUACAUUCACAUGGACUUCACAGAACAGCUUCCAUGAAGUCAAACUGCUUAUUACUGACUGUCCAGCACUUGCCAUGUUUGACCCCUCACUGCCCGCAGCAGACUGCCUUUCACGAUUGCCACUGCCAUGUGAAGAGGAUGGCUCCCCAGACAUGGAACCAGAGAUUGUGGCUGCCAUUUCCGCCCUUUUAACUGCCAUUCCCAUGUCUGACUUCACAGAUGUCUGCUCUUUCUGCCCAGAGCUAAGCAAGCUGCGCACCUACAUGACUAAAGGGUGGCCUGCAUCAUCCAAAAGCCUGCCGGCAGACAUGAUACCUUAGGUGUGAAAUGAACUGUCAGUGUACAACUCACUGAUUUUGAGAGGGACUCACAAAAUAGUGGUGCCAGUAAAGCUACGUUCCCACAUGAUACACCUAGCACACGAGAGCCACCAAAGCAUAAUACGUACAAAACAGAGACUCAGAGACUUGUAUUGGUGGCCUAAGAUGGACGUGUUGGUAGAGUCUGUCAUUGCUACCUGUGUGUCCUGUCAGCUGAAUGACAAGACAACAAGAACUGCCCCUGCACCCAUGACACCAGUCCCUUUGCCUGAUGGACCCUGGCAAAAGCUUGCUGUCGACAUUGCUGGCCCAUUUGAGACUGGCCCUGCUGACUGCAAUUUCUCUAUUACCAUGGUGGACUACUAUUCAAAGUGGCCAGAGUUGUGUUUUGCUCCACAGUGCACCACUGCUACAGUGAUAAGCUUCAUGAGAUCUGUAUUCAGCCAAAAAGGAAACCCCAUGGCUGUGGUAACAGACAAUGGUCCAAAGCUAACAUCCUAAGAACCCUUCUCUUUCCUUGAGAAACGAGAUAUCCAACACAUCAGGACUACAAUCAGCUUUGAGUUAGCUGUUAACUGAUGCUGACUACUAUUUAUUUAAAAAAACAAUUGGGGGCAUUUUUGCCUUUGUGAGAAUAGUUGAGGACAGACAGGAUGGGUGGGAGGGAGAGAGAGAGGGGGAUGACAUGCAGAAAAGGGCCACAGGUCUCAAUGGAACCAGGGCCCUAUUUCAGAAAGCAGGAUUUGUGAAAACUCUGAGUAUGCUGAGCCUGAGAUGAGGGAAACUCUGACUUUUCUGUUUCACAAAGCCAGUUCAGCGUAACCCUGAGUCAGUUACAGUCGCGGUUCUAGGGGCAGGGCCACAGGGGCAUUGGCCCCAUCUGAAAUCUAAUUGGCCCCCUGAAGUGCCCCUGUCCUGUCACUCAUCUGUUGUUUUGUCCGAGAAUGACAAUCAGCUUAUUGGUGCAAUUCUGUGCCCAACAACUGGUGGCAGUAGUGCGCAAAAUAGGCACGUCCACUGUCAAUAAAGCUGACAGAAGACGAUAAUUUGAAAGAACUCAGGUUCACACUCCAACGAUACCACAGCGAUAGGUGGGCUGGAGACAACAUGGAGAACCGCCCGAUGGCAGUCAACGUUUUGUAGAGAUUGUUGGUAAGUCACAAAUCCCCAGGGUUGUCACUAAUGUUUGAAAGAACAUUAAUUGCUGCCGUCACUCAGUCUGACAAACAUUAAAUUAAGAAGCAGCAGUAAGCUAUUAGUUAGCAUUAGCUUUCGCUAAUACAUGUAAUGCUAAUCAAUGUGCGUUACUUCUUCAUAAUUUGCAUUUUUGUGUUAACAUUAACCAUAAUGUUUGGUAGCAAUUCAGAGUAUGAAAAGAAAGGGUCAGUCUCAGACGGGUAUUCAGCGGUUUUUGGCCAAAAGAACCUGUCUACCAGCCGCUAAAAAAAUGAGCAGGGAGAGUGUGAUAGAGGAUGGUCGACCAGAGGCUGGUCACGGUCAAGAGCAGGGCAGCUCCAAUCCCUCUUCACCAGGUCAGACAUCAUCUAGGCGCAGCAACAACAGUAACUCUGUAAUGUAUGAUAUGGCUGGUAUUGUUAUGAAAUGGCACAGAAGUUAAGUAAUUGUCAUACUGUAAAACCCAAUUGACAUUGGCGCUAAAUGUUUGGAGAUUUUCUGCUUGAGGAGUAACUUUAGCAAUUAGCUGGUAACUUGAAUGUUAAAACUCAUAACACACUUGUUUGUACCAAUUUACUAGUAAUUGUAAUUGUAAAAGUGCUAUUGUGAGAAUCUCCGCCACAUUUUCGUUAGUGGGCACUCUAUAUUUUACCUCUGUUUGUUUGUGACUAUUGUGAAUAAAAAUGGUGAAAACAGUAA